CCCUUAGAUGUUCUGGGCCGCACGCGCGCUACACUGACGAAUGCAACGAGCUUAUAACCUUGGCCGAAAGGUCUGGGUAAUCUCCAAAUUUCGUCGUGAUGGGGAUAGAUUAUUGCAAUUAUUAAUCUUCAACGAGGAAUGCCUAGUAAGCGCAAGUCAUCAGCUUGCGUUGAUUACGUCCCUGCCCUUUGUACACACCGCCCGUCGCUCCUACCGAUUGAAUGGUCCGGUGAAGCGCUCGGACCGCGGCCUCUUGACGGUUUUCCGUCGAUUGGCUGUGGGAAGUUCGUUAAACCUUAUCAUUUAGAGGAAGGAGAAGUCGUNACA
rnacentral:rRNA from 1 species